rnacentral:rRNA from 1 species
UAUUAUUUUGGAUUUAAAUUUUAAGACUUGAGUAGUAUUAGUUAUGGCCUUGAAACUUAAAGAAUUUGGCGGUAUUUUAGUCUAUUUAGAGGAAUCUGUUCCGUUAUCGAUAUUCCACGUUGGACCUUACUUAUUUUUAUUAUUUGUAUACCGCCGUUUAUUUGAAAAUCUUGAUAGGGGAAAUUUUCUUAAUAUUUGAUUUUAUUAUAUUUCAGGUCAAGGUGCAGUUUAUAAUUAAGUGGAAAUGGAUUACAAUAUAUUUAUAUAUGAAUUAUGAAUUGUAAUAAUUUAUAUGAAGGUGGAUUUAAUAGUAAUUUUAAUAAGAAUAUUAUUAUGAUUUUAGCUCUAUAAUGUGCACACAUCGCCCGUCGCUCUCACUAUUAAGGUGAG